rnacentral:rRNA from 1 species
UACGUAGGGGGCUAGCGUUGUCCGGAUUUAUUGGGCGUAAAGAGCUCGUAGGUGGUUCGGCAAGUCGGAUGUGAAAUCUCCAGGCUCAACCUGGAGGGGUCAUUCGAUACUGCCGUGACUAGAGUUCGGUAGAGGAGUGUGGAAUUCCUGGUGGAGCGGUGAAAUGCGCAGAGAUCAGGAGGAACACCCGUAGCGAAGGCGGCCCUCUGGGCCGAUACUGACACUGAGGAGCGAAAGCGUGGGGAGCGAACAGG